UACGGAGGGUGCAAGCGUUAUCCGGAUUCACUGGGUUUAAAGGGUGCGUAGGCGGGCUUGUAAGUCAGUGGUGAAAGCCCGGAGCUUAACUCCGGAAUUGCCGUUGAUACUGCAAGUCUUGAGUACAGUUGAGGUGGGCGGAAUACAUCAUGUAGUAGUGAAAUACUUAGAUAUGAUGUAGAACACCGAUUGCGAAGGCAGCUCACUAAAGUGUAACUGACGCUGAGGCACGAAAGCGUGGGGAUCAAACAGG
rnacentral:rRNA from 1 species